rnacentral:rRNA from 1 species
AACGAACGCUGGCGGCAUGCCUAACACAUGCAAGUCGACGAGACCUUCGGGUCUAGUGGCGCACGGGUGCGUAACGCGUGGGAACCUGCCCUUAGGUUCGGAAUAACUCCCCGAAAGGGGUGCUAAUACCGGAUAAUGUCUUCGGACCAAAGAUUUAUCGCCUUUGGAUGGGCCCGCGUUGGAUUAGCUAGUUGGUAGGGUAAAAGCCUACCAAGGCGACGAUCCAUAGCUGGUCUGAGAGGAUGAUCAGCCACACUGGGACUGAGACACGGCCCAGACUCCUACGGGAAGCAGCAGUGGGGAAUAUUGGACAAUGGGCGAAAGCCUGAUCCAGCAAUGCCGCGUGAGUGAUGAAGGCCUUAGGGUUGUAAAGCUCUUUUACCCGGGAUGAUAAUGACAGUACCGGGAGAAUAAGCUCCGGCUAACUCCGUG